AUGGGGGAACCCCGGGCUGGGGCCCCCCUGGACGAUGGCAGUGGCUGGACAGGAAGUGAGGAAGGAAGUGAGGAGGGCACCGGCGGUAGCGAGGGGGCUGGGGGCGAUGGGGGCCCGGACGCAGAAGGUGUGUGGAGUCCAGACAUCGAGCAGAGCUUCCAGGAGGCCCUGGCCAUCUACCCGCCAUGCGGCCGGUGGAAAAUCAUCCUGUCUGAUGAAGGCAAGAUGUAUGGUCGGAAUGAGCUGAUUGCCCGCUACCUCAAGCUGAGAACAGGGAAGACCCGAACUCGCAAACAGGUCUCUAGUCACAUCCAGGUUCUGGCUCGAAGGAAAUCAAGGGAAAUCCAGUCCAAGCUCAAGGACCAGGUUUCCAAGGACAAGGCUUUCCAGACCAUGGCCACCAUGUCCUCAGCCCAGCUCAUCUCAGCACCUUCCCUGCAGGCCAAACUGGGCCCUGCUGGUCCUCAGGCUUCUGAGCUUUUCCAGUUUUGGUCGGGGGGCUCUGGCCCCCCCUGGAAUGUUCCAGAUGUGAAGCCAUUCUCGCAGACACCAUUCUCCUUGUCACUGACCCCCCCAUCUACUGACCUCCCAGGGUACGAGCCCCCCCAAGCCCUGUCACCCCCUGCCCUGCCCCCACCUGCCCCAUCACCCCCAGCCUGGCAGGCUUGGGCCCUGGGCACUGCCCAGUUGCAGCUGGUGGAGUUCUCAGCCUUUGUGGAACCGCCCGAUGCCGUUGAUUCUUACCAGAGGCACCUGUUCGUACACAUCAGCCAGCACUGCCCCAGCCCUGGAGCGCCCCGCCUCGAGAGUGUGGACGUCCGGCAGAUCUAUGACAAAUUCCCUGAGAAAAAGGGCGGCCUUCGGGAGCUGUACGAUCGCGGGCCCCCUCCCGCCUUCUUCCUGGUCAAGUUCUGGGCGGACUUGAACUGGGGCCCAAGUGGCGAGGAGGUAGGGGCUGGUGGCAGCGGCGGUGGCUUCUACGGAGUGAGCAGCCAGUACGAGAGCCUGGAGCACAUGACCCUCACCUGUUCCUCCAAGGUCUGCUCCUUUGGCAAGCAGGUGGUGGAGAAGGUGGAGACGGAGCGUGCCCAGCUGGAGGAUGGGAGGUUUGUAUACCGCCUGCUGCGCUCACCCAUGUGUGAGUACCUGGUGAAUUUCUUGCACAAACUGCGACAGCUGCCCGAGCGCUAUAUGAUGAACAGUGUCCUGGAGAACUUCACCAUCCUCCAGGUGGUGACAAACAGAGACACCCAGGAGCUGCUGCUCUGCACCGCCUACGUCUUUGAGGUCUCCACCAGUGAGCGGGGGGCCCAGCACCACAUUUAUCGCCUGGUCAGGGACUGAAAGGGGACCCCAAAAGUGGCUCACCCCCUGGAAUACCCUCCUCCCAGGAAGUACCUCCAGCUUUCUUCAUGCUCAUUUGGGGAGGGGGCUGCUCCGUGUUAGAGGACCUUAAAAGCUGGGUGGUGAGUUGAAAAGAUGGGUUCUGAUACUGGGACCUCACAGUGGUAGCUGAAAGGACAGAUCACUCCAGAGCAUCAGGGACUGGGGACAGGAGUGAGACAGCCCCGAGGUACAGCACUGGUUUCUCAGUCUCUAACAGGCGCCCUCCCCCAACUUGGUUCUGGAUGUUUUGGAUGGCCUUAGAAAGUAUGUUGGUUUGUCCCUCUGUUUUUCAGCACCCCCCCUUCCCAAUCUGCCUCUCUUUACCACCCCCAACCCUGUGAUCUUGAGAUCAAAUACUGAAGGUUAACCCUUUGUGCAGGAGCAGAGCCAGGUGGGCCCUGGAAAUAUUUUUUUUAAUAUAACAAGAGAUAUUUAUAAGUGGGUAUUAGAGCAAGCUGUGGGGUGAGGCUUUUAAAUGUCAUCCUCUCUUCUCAAUAAGACAUGGGCUAUAUACUGUGUUGCCUCCCC